UACGUAGGUGGCAAGCGUUGUCCGGAUUUACUGGGCGUAAAGAGCGCGCAGGCGGUUGGAUAAGUCGAAUGUGAAAGCCCCCGGCUCAACUGGGGAGGGUCAUUCGAUACUGUCCGACUCGAAGGCAGGAGAGGGAAGCGGAAUUCCCAGUGUAGAGGUGAAAUUCGUAGAUAUUGGGAAGAACACCGGUGGCGAAGGCGGCGAGCUGGCCCGUUUCUGACGCUGAGGCGCGACAGCGUGGGGAGCAAACAGG
rnacentral:rRNA from 1 species